rnacentral:rRNA from 1 species
AGUCACUGACAUUAGACUACCCCGGUAGUCCAGGGUGUAAACGCUGCAGACUUGGUGUUGGGAAGCCCGUUUGGGGGCAUUCAGUGCCGGAGAGAAGUUGUUAAGUCUGCUACGUUGGGAGUACGUCCGCAAGGAUAGAAACUUAAAGGAAUUGGCGGGGGAGCACCGCAACGGGAGGAGCGUGCGGUUUAAUUGGGAUUCAACACCGUAAACUCACCAGGGAAGACUGUUACAUGAAGGCCGAGAUGAAGACUCUGCUAGAUUUUCAG